rnacentral:lncRNA from 1 species
GGAAACAGCCUAAGUUCCUCACCAGAAGCAGAGGCUGGCACCAUGUUUGUUAUGCAGCCUGCAGAACCAGAAAUCAUGGGAAAAACUGCCCAUUUCUGUUUUGUCCACUUUGCUUUGGGAAGUGAGAGCUAUAGUCAUUAUCACCACAUCCCCUGGCAUCCAAUUCCGUAGUGAGACGAGCAUGAGUGGAGCAGGAGACGGCUGUCCCCCACCCACAAGGAAUAUCAGAUGAUGGUUCAGCGAUCAUCACAUUGCCUCUCUGAAAGUGAUAAAUUGGCAGCUGGCACCAGGGAGAGGCUAUUUCCUGAUGGCCCACACCUGUUGCACUAAGAUGUUAAUCGAAUGCAGAUUCCAGGGAGAAACAACUUCCUGGGCAUGUGCGUAAGAGACAAAAUGGCAGCUGAGGACUAUCCUGAUCAAAUAUGCAUACUUCAAAGAUUGCUUCAAUGGACCGAAUGGAAGGAAGAGGUUGCUGAUACCAUGGAAAUCAGUUAAAAGGCUCAUGAAAGAAUGCAAACAAAAAGUUUUUUCAACUGAAUUUGUCCUGCUCUACACCUCUUCCUCCACCCCUCCAAAAUAAAACAAGAUAAUACUGCCAAA